UACGAAGGGGGCUAGCGUUGCUCGGAAUUACUGGGCGUAAAGCGCACGUAGGCGGAUUGUUAAGUCGGGGGUGAAAUCCUGGAGCUCAACUCCAGAACUGCCUUCGAUACUGGCGAUCUUGAGUCCGGGAGAGGUGAGUGGAACUGCGAGUGUAGAGGUGAAAUUCGUAGAUAUUCGCAAGAACACCAGUGGCGAAGGCGGCUCACUGGCCCGGUACUGACGCUGAGGUGCGAAAGCGUGGGGAGCAAACAGG
rnacentral:rRNA from 1 species